rnacentral:rRNA from 1 species
GACGUAGGGGGCCAGCAUUGUUCGGAAUUACUGGGUGUAAAGGGUCAGUAGGCGGUGCGGCAAGUCGGGAGUGAAAUCUCUGGGCUUAACCCAGAGGCUGCUUCCGAAACUGCUGUGCUUGAGUGUGGGAGAGGCGCGUGGAAUUGCAGGUGUAGCGGUGAAAUGCGUAGAUAUCUGCAGGAACACCCGUGGCGAAAGCGGCGCGCUGGACCACAACUGACGCUGAAUGACGAAAGCUAGGGGAGCAAACAGG